UCAUUGCUGAGAAAUUCCCAAAUUGCAAGGGUGAAAACCCUAGGCCCCAAAUGCCUUCCGCUGCUCCCGACAGCUCUCGUUGGCCUUCCCCCGGCGUCGCUGCCUCAUCACCACCGCCAAUCCCUUCAACCUCGCCGAGCACUACCGUGCUGGACUCUGGCUCCUCCCCCUCUCGAACACACAGAUUAGGUAGGAACCCUAGCUUGGGGUGAAACCGGAAUCCCCCCUUCUUCGCUGCCCGUCGACCCCUGCUCUGGGAGGUACGGACGCAUUGGCGAAAAACCACAGACCGUCGGCUCGCCCUCACCACGGUAGGGAUACGUCCGGUGACCAUUCAUGCCGUGCGCCCACUGUCCGCCGUCUCCUCGCGUCACUCCACGGCGACCCGGAGCCGUCAAGAUGCCAUCGUCUCCAUUCACCCUCAGCAGAGGGAGCUAAGUUCCCUCUCCAAUGUUCAUGUCUUUUGAUUUCCUUGUUGAGGUGUUAAACGAGAAUCGAUAGUUUCUAUGCUUAAUCUAACCGAAUUCUUAAGUUAGCAUAUAUAUAUAUAGGGUAGUGUUAAAAUCCUAUAUACCACUUAGAUUUAAGUUCCGUUUUUAUUGGGAUCGUUGGAUCUUGAGGAUGAUCGAUCUAGAUUUAAUUCUUAUAGUAGCAUUCCGUAGUUCAUUAUUUAGUUUAUUUCGUGCAUUAUGAGGGUGAAUUAGUAAUUAUAUGUGCUCAAAUCUGGAGAAACCGAGGAGCUGAGAUUUUAGCGGGAUACACCCACUACUUUCCAUGUACUCCACGCCUCAUUCAUCAUCAUCCUUAAUUACUCCAGCUUCUCUCUCCAUUUUUGACUUCUCAAAUUCCAGCCAAACCCUAGCCGCCUCCACCACCGUUUUCGCCGAUACAAGCUUAAAUUCAUCCGCUGUUACCUUCGAUUUUCAGUCAUCCGUUCUGUUCUGAACAAUACUCCACCGCCACCAUCACCGUUUUCGCCAAUAAGAAGAGUUCUUAAAAUGACAAAAAGAGGACGACCAACAAAUUCACAACAAUCCCAGCAAGAGGAGAUGCAAUUGUGUAUGAGGACAACUAAAAACAAACGGUGCAGAGUGAGUUCCUUUCGUUGGAACCGUUCAAAGCUGUCAGCCCGGUCAUUAUAGACACUUGGUGCUCUUACUUGAAUAACAUGGAGAAGCUAAAGGCACCAGAUAGUAGUUGUCAUUAUUUUGAUUGUUGUAGGAAAUACGAACUAUCAACGGGCUGAUGAGUACUUCAAUGAGUUAACCGCACAGUUAUUAGAGUAAUUCAGUGUUAUAGAAUCCAAUAACGAACAAAAAUUCGGUGCAUGUAUCAGUUUAAACGUUGUUAUUA